GUUAAGCGACUAAGCGUACACGGUGGAUGCCCUGGCAGUCAGAGGCGAUGAAGGGCGUGCUAAUCUGCGAUAAGCGCCGGUAAGGUGAUAUGAACCGUUAUAACCGGCGAUACCCGAAUGGGGAAACCCAGUGUGACUCGUCACACUAUCAUUAACUGAAUCCAUAGGUUAAUGAGGCGAACCGGGGGAACUGAAACAUCUAAGUACCCCGAGGAAAAGAAAUCAACCGAGAUUCCCCCAGUAGCGGCGAGCGAACGGGGAGGAGCCCAGAGCCUGAAUCAGCAUGUGUGUUAGUGGAAGCGUCUGGAAAGGCGCGCGAUACAGGGUGACAGCCCCGUACACAAAAGCGCAUGUGCUGUGAGCUCGAUGAGUAGGGCGGGACACGUGGUAUCCUGUCUGAAUAUGGGGGGACCAUCCUCCAAGGCUAAAUACUCCUGACUGACCGAUAGUGAACCAGUACCGUGAGGGAAAGGCGAAAAGAACCCCGGCGAGGGGAGUGAAAAAGAACCUGAAACCGUGUACGUACAAGCAGUGGGAGCACCCUUUUGGGUGUGACUGCGUACCUUUUGUAUAAUGGGUCAGCGACUUAUAUUCUGUAGCAAGGUUAACCGAAUAGGGGAGCCGGAGGGAAACCGAGUCUUAACCGGGCGUUAAGUUGCAGGGUAUAGACCCGAAACCCGGUGAUCUAGCCAUGGGCAGGUUGAAGGUUGGGUAACACUAACUGGAGGACCGAACCGACUAAUGUUGAAAAAUUAGCGGAUGACCUGUGGCUGGGGGUGAAAGGCCAAUCAAACCGGGAGAUAGCUGGUUCUCCCCGAAAGCUAUUUAGGUAGCGCCUCGUGAAUUCAUCUCCGGGGGUAGAGCACUGUUUCGGCUAGGGGGCCAUCCCGGCUUACCAACCCGAUGCAAACUGCGAAUACCGGAGAAUGUUAUCACGGGAGACACACGGCGGGUGCUAACGUCCGUCGUGAAGAGGGAAACAACCCAGACCGCCAGCUAAGGUCCCAAAGUCAUGGUUAAGUGGGAAACGAUGUGGGAAGGCCCAGACAGCCAGGAUGUUGGCUUAGAAGCAGCCAUCAUUUAAAGAAAGCGUAAUAGCUCACUGGUCGAGUCGGCCUGCGCGGAAGAUGUAACGGGGCUAAACCAUGCACCGAAGCUGCGGCAGCGACGCUGAUGCGUUGUUGGGUAGGGGAGCGUUCUGUAAGCCUGCGAAGGUGGCCUGUGAGGGUUGCUGGAGGUAUCAGAAGUGCGAAUGCUGACAUAAGUAACGAUAAAGCGGGUGAAAAGCCCGCUCGCCGGAAGACCAAGGGUUCCUGUCCAACGUUAAUCGGGGCAGGGUGAGUCGACCCCUAAGGCGAGGCCGAAAGGCGUAGUCGAUGGGAAACGGGUUAAUAUUCCCGUACUUGGUGUUACUGCGAAGGGGGGACGGAGAAGGCUAUGUUGGCCGGGCGACGGUUGUCCCGGUUUAAGCGUGUAGGUGUGUGUUCCAGGUAAAUCCGGUUCACUUUAACACUGAGGCGUGAUGACGAGGCACUACGGUGCUGAAGCAACAAAUGCCCUGCUUCCAGGAAAAGCCUCUAAGCAUCAGGUAACAUCAAAUCGUACCCCAAACCGACACAGGUGGUCAGGUAGAGAAUACCAAGGCGCUUGAGAGAACUCGGGUGAAGGAACUAGGCAAAAUGGUGCCGUAACUUCGGGAGAAGGCACGCUGACACGUAGGUGAAGUGAUUUACUCACGGAGCUGAAGUCAGUCGAAGAUACCAGCUGGCUGCAACUGUUUAUUAAAAACACAGCACUGUGCAAACACGAAAGUGGACGUAUACGGUGUGACGCCUGCCCGGUGCCGGAAGGUUAAUUGAUGGGGUCAGCGCAAGCGAAGCUCCUGAUCGAAGCCCCGGUAAACGGCGGCCGUAACUAUAACGGUCCUAAGGUAGCGAAAUUCCUUGUCGGGUAAGUUCCGACCUGCACGAAUGGCGUAAUGAUGGCCAGGCUGUCUCCACCCGAGACUCAGUGAAAUUGAACUCGCUGUGAAGAUGCAGUGUACCCGCGGCAAGACGGAAAGACCCCGUGAACCUUUACUAUAGCUUGACACUGAACAUUGAGCCUUGAUGUGUAGGAUAGGUGGGAGGCUUUGAAGCGUGGACGCCAGUCUGCGUGGAGCCGACCUUGAAAUACCACCCUUUAAUGUUUGAUGUUCUAACGUGGACCCGUUACCCGGGUUGCGGACAGUGUCUGGUGGGUAGUUUGACUGGGGCGGUCUCCUCCUAAAGAGUAACGGAGGAGCACGAAGGUUGGCUAAUCCUGGUCGGACAUCAGGAGGUUAGUGCAAUGGCAUAAGCCAGCUUGACUGCGAGCGUGACGGCGCGAGCAGGUGCGAAAGCAGGUCAUAGUGAUCCGGUGGUUCUGAAUGGAAGGGCCAUCGCUCAACGGAUAAAAGGUACUCCGGGGAUAACAGGCUGAUACCGCCCAAGAGUUCAUAUCGACGGCGGUGUUUGGCACCUCGAUGUCGGCUCAUCACAUCCUGGGGCUGAAGUAGGUCCCAAGGGUAUGGCUGUUCGCCAUUUAAAGUGGUACGCGAGCUGGGUUUAGAACGUCGUGAGACAGUUCGGUCCCUAUCUGCCGUGGGCGCUGGAGAACUGAGGGGGGCUGCUCCUAGUACGAGAGGACCGGAGUGGACGCAUCACUGGUGUUCGGGUUGUCAUGCCAAUGGCACUGCCCGGUAGCUAAAUGCGGAAGAGAUAAGUGCUGAAAGCAUCUAAGCACGAAACUUGCCCCGAGAUGAGUUCUCCCUGAGACUUAGAGUCUCCUGAAGGAACGUUGAAGACGACGACGUUGAUAGGCCGGGUGUGUAAGCGCAGCGAUGCGUUGAGCUAACCGGUACUAAUGAACCGUGAGGCUUAACCUUACAACGCCGAAG
rnacentral:rRNA from 1 species